GCACUACUGAGGAGUCCCACAAUAGGAUGAAACGACCGUCCAGUGU
rnacentral:hammerhead_ribozyme from 1 species